GAAAUGCGAUAAGUAAUGUGAAUUGCAGAAUUCCGUGAAUCAUCGAAUCUUUGAACGCACAUUGCGCCCUCUGGCAUUCCGGGGGGCAUGCCUGUCCGAGCGUCAUUACGCACCCUCAAGCCCGGCUUGUGUGAUGGGCCCCGGCGUCUCGUUCGCGAGACGGGCCCGAAAGGCAGCGGCGGCGUCGACCCGAUGAGCCCGAGCGUAUGGGGACUUCUGUCACACGUUCGCGGUGCGGACCGGCGCCUGCUUGACUUUUCUGAUUAUCCAGGUUGACCUCGGAUCAGGUAGGGAUACCAGCUGACCUGAAGC
rnacentral:misc_RNA from 1 species